UACAGAGGUCCCAAGCGUUGUUCGGAUUCAUUGGGCGUAAAGGGUGCGUAGGCGGCGCGGUAAGUCGGGUGUGAAAUCUCGGGGCUUAACUCCGAAACUGCAUUCGAUACUGCCGUGCUUGAGGACUGGAGAGGAGACUGGAAUUUACGGUGUAGCGGUGAAAUGCGUAGAUAUCGUAAGGAAGACCAGUGGCGAAGGCGGGUCUCUGGACAUUUCCUGACGCUGAGGCACGAAAGCCAGGGGAGCAAACGGG
rnacentral:rRNA from 1 species